rnacentral:misc_RNA from 1 species
AACACACAACAAACUUAAAAGAAACUAUAAUUUUUCACAUUAUGAGCAAGUGUUCACCUCAUUUUGUAAAUGAAAUACACGAUCCAAAAAGGAAAAACUUAACACAGAUGCACUGCACAAUGACUGGGAGUAUUGACAACACAUUACAAAUAUAUAUCUCAUUCGAGAUACUACAGUGGAAAAUCCGAGAUCCCUGUCCUGAACCAUCGUCCAUCUUAAAAGCAAAACUUCUUCUUUUUCUGGAACUUGGCAGCUUCUUGACUGUCAAUGUAAGCGAGAAGUUCUUCUUGCCUCAUCAAUGCCUCAUGUAAUGCCUUCUUGGUUGCUAUUAACUCAGCUUCUAGGGCAUCCACCCGGCAAACAGCUGCAUUUAGCAAUUCCGCCUUUUCAUAAGGCAUCUCAGAUGGCUUUUCUUGAAGCGUACUUACUUUGUCCUCAAGUUCACCCAAUUUUUUCAGAACAACAGAAAGCAAUUGAGCUUCACUAAAGGCUGGAGUUGGUGAAGGUGGCCGAAGCUCCUCAUUACUGUUGGCAUCAAAAGUGAAUUCUUGAACAGCUUGGUCUUGACCAAUUGAUGGAUCUGGAAAUUUCUUAGUUAUGCAGCAUAGCAGUGAACGGAAAAGCAUCACCACAGUCGUGAAGAAAGCCAUAAGAAAUCCUAAUAUCUGAGCAUUAAGACCACCUGCAGGCUUUUGAGAAUCUGCUGGUGGAAGUAUCCCUUUGGCAAUGGGGGCUUUAUGAAAGGAUGUUUGCUUCUUUAACACAGAAUCAACCGCCUUGUCAACCAUGGGAACAUAUUCAUCAUAUCCUGAUAAGUUUGCAGUGUAGCCAGACAUUCCUAUACCCUUAGCCUCUUCACGGACAGGAGUAAGCCGAAGAUGCGAAUAAUUCCUUACAGCUUUAGGGGAACCAAUAUCUUCUGCCUCAGAUCCCGAUUCUGCCGUGGAGGUAUCACUACCUUUUGACUGCAUGGGGAAGCGAGGCUUAGCAUAAACUACCUUUCCUUCGCUGUUUACAACUUUAACAACCUGCCUGGCACGCCGUGCUUCACCAAUCAUCUUUAAUAUUUCCGGAUUUUGCCAUGGCCCUUUAUCUGAGCGAAGGCAACCUCCUUGAUCUGCACAUGUACAGUUUCCACCCAAAAAAUCUGGCAACUCACUAACGUCCACUAGUUCAAGCAAUUUGGUUUGGUACUUGUACCCAAGAACAUGUAUCUUCGAGGUGGUCUUGGGAUCCAAAAAACUCUUAACAGUACUCCACAGCAGCCUAAAGCCAGGUCCAGCAUUGAUGAUAAGCAUUUGAUGAAGUGUCUCGGGAUAAUUAUCACCAUCAAUCUUCUGAAGUCGCAUGAUGAGCUCCCUAGCACUCUUUGUAAAGUUUUUCAAACCCACUCCCUGGACAUCCAAAAUAGUAGUGCUUGAAUCAAUCUGCCUUUUUGCAGCAACUGUACAUGCUGGAAACUUGAUUGCAAAAGUUUUCUCAAACUCUCUUACAUGGUUUCUGAUGUAACGGUCCAUAGUUGUGACUUGCAUAAGUUUUGUGGGAUCAACUUUCCCUAACCUUUCAAUGUAUACCGGUCUUCCUUCCCUAUCAAUCCCAUGAUAACCUUGGGGAUAAUAUUUUACAACUUCUUCCAACUCCGGGAAUUCAAAAUCCUCCGUGAUUGUGUCAGCCCCAAAAUCCUUCCUCCACUGAAGCAUAUCA